AGGCGGUUCCAUCAACGGUGCCGUCCAUGGAUCAAAUUAUUUCGUGGAUUGGAUUUCACUUGCCUGUCUACGGUUCCCUUGCGUGUGCUCGGGAUAGGUGUUUUGUAUAAAUGUUUCGAUCCCCGUGCCAGCCCAAAUCAUGAUCUUCACCAACUUGGAUUUGGUUCUCUCGUGAAAAUCAUAGUCUAUAAUGCUACGUCAACAGGUAUAGUAAGAAAAAUACCACGUAAAGAAAAGGGGGGUAUGAAAUAUCCAUAG
rnacentral:rRNA from 1 species